GAUGAAGAACGUAGCGAAAUGCGAUAAGUAGUGUGAAUUGCAGAAUUCAGUGAAUCAUCGAAUCUUUGAACGCACAUUGCGCCCCAUGGUAUUCCGUGGGGCAUGCCUGUUCGAGCGUCAUUUACCCCCUCAAGCUCCGCUUGGUGUUGGGCGUCUGUCCCGCUUCGCGCGCGGACUCGCCCCAAAGGUAUUGGCAGCGGUCGUGCCAGCUUCUCGCGCGGCACAUUGCGCUUCUCGAGGCACCGGUGGGCCCGCGUCCAUCAAGCUCACCCCCCCAGUUUGACCUCGGAUCAGGUAGGGAUACCCGCUGAACUUAAGCAUAUCAAUAAGCGGAGGA
rnacentral:misc_RNA from 1 species